rnacentral:rRNA from 1 species
GAUGAACGCUGGCGGCGUGCCUAAUACAUGCAAGUCGAGCGAACAGACGAGGAGCUUGCUCCUCUGACGUUAGCGGCGGACGGGUGAGUAACACGUGGAUAACCUACCUAUAAGACUGGGAUAACUUCGGGAAACCGGAGCUAAUACCGGAUAAUAUAUUGAACCGCAUGGUUCAAUAGUGAAAGACGGUUUUGCUGUCACUUAUAGAUGGAUCCGCGCCGCAUUAGCUAGUUGGUAAGGUAACGGCUUACCAAGGCAACGAUGCGUAGCCGACCUGAGAGGGUGAUCGGCCACACUGGAACUGAGACACGGUCCAGAGUCCUACGGGAGGCAGCAGUAGGGAAUCUUCCGCAAUGGGCGAAAGCCUGACGGAGCAACGCCGCGUGAGUGAUGAGGUCUUCGGAUCGUAAAACUCUGUUAUUAGGGAAGAACAAAUGUGUAAGUAACUAUGCACGUCUUGACGGUACCUAAUCAGAAAGCCACGGCUAACUACGUG